rnacentral:ncRNA from 1 species
GUAACAACGAACUGUGAGAAGUCAGCAGAGGCCAUAGUAGGCAAAGCCCUGAAAUGGGCGUUGCUGAAGGGC